ACCAUUCUUUUCUUUGGGUUUUGCUACCGUCCAAGGAGAGCAGAGUGAGGACAGUACUGCUAAUACCUACAUGACACGCCUGGAUCCAGCGGAGUUUUGCUUUACAUCAGUGCAACUUUUAGAAAA
rnacentral:ncRNA from 1 species